rnacentral:rRNA from 1 species
CCUACGGGUGGCAGCAGUGGGGAAUAUUGGGCAAUGGAGGAAACUCUGACCCAGCAACGCCGCGUGAAUGAUGAAGGUCUUCGGAUUGUAAAGCUCUUUUCUAAGGGAAGAAGAAAGUGACGGUACCUUAGGAAUAAGCUUCGGCUAACUACGCGCCAGCAGCCGCGGCAAUACGUAGGAGGCGAGCGUUCUCCGGAAGGACUGGGCGUAAGGGGUGCGUAGGUGGUUUGGCAAGGUAGGAGCGAAACGCCAUGGCUCAACCUUGGAACUACUACUGAAACUGUUGGACUUGAGUGCAGGAGAGGCAACCGGAAUUCCUAGUGUAGCGGUGAAAUGCGUAGAUAUUAGGAGGAACACCAGUGGCGAAGGCGGGUUGCUGGACGGUAACUGACGCUGAGGCACGAAAGCGUGGGGAGCAAACAGGAUUAGAUACCCGGGUAGUC